rnacentral:rRNA from 1 species
AUGGGAGAUGCGCUGUGCGAUCAGCUCCUCGUCGACGUCGACGGCGAGUUCCAGCUCCCCACCGACGCUGAAGACCUAUUCAGCAUCCUCGAGACUUGGGAGGACUGCGUCAACGGCGCCGCUGCAGCGUUGAGCCCCACGGCCGGCGCCAGCAGCCGUGGUGGGCUGCUGGGCGGUUCUGCGCCGGGGAACAAAGGCAGCAAGCGGCGAGCGCGGCAGGACGAAUGUGACGGCAUAGCGCAGGCGCAGAAGAGGCAGAAGUGCUCGCCGGAGGAGGGAGGCGGCGCGGCGCCGAAGACGGCCCACAUCACGGUGGAGCGCAACCGCCGGAAGCAGAUGAACGAGCACCUGACCGUUCUGCGGUCGCUCAUGCCAUGCUUCUAUGUCAAGCGUGGUGACCAAGCAUCCAUCAUCGGAGGAGUGGUGGACUACAUCAAGGAGCUGCAGCAAGUGAAGCAGUCGCUGGAGGCCAAGAAGCAGCGCAAGGCCUACACCGAGCACGUCCUCAGCCCGCGGCCGCCGCCGUCGUCCUACAGCCCACGCCUCCCGCUCAGCCCGCUCCAUAAAUCCACGCCGCCGCUCAGCCCACUGCUCAGGUCCACUCCGCCGCUCAGCCCGCGCCUCGCCGUCCCGAUCAGCCCUGCCAGGACGCCGCCGACGCCAGGCAGUCCCUACAAGCUCCGGCCCCUGCCGCCGCCGAUCUCCGGCUCCACCUACGUGUCCCCGGCGAUGACGCCUACAGGCUACGAUGCGGCCUCCUCCUACCUCCCCUCGCUCGACGCCAUCGCCGCCGAGCUGUCGGUGUACGCCAACAGGCAGGCGCUACAGCUGCCCCCGACCGACCCACUCCCCGACGUGAGGGUGGAGUUCGCCGGCGCGAACCUGGUGCUGAAGACGGUGUCGCACCGCGCGCCGGGGCAGGCGGUGAAGAUCAUCGCCGCGCUCGAGUCACGGGCGCCGGCGCUGGAGAUCCUCCACGCCAAGAUAAGCACCAUCGACGACACCGACGUCAACGCCUUCACCGUCAAGAUUGGAAUCGAGUGCUCACUCAGCGCGGAGGAGCUGGUGCAAGAGAUUCAGCAAACGUUCUCGUAA